GUGGGGAAUCUUGCGCAAUGGGCGAAAGCCUGACGCAGCCAUGCCGCGUGAAUGAUGAAGGUCUUAGGAUUGUAAAAUUCUUUCACCGGGGACGAUAAUGACGGUACCCGGAGAAGAAGCUCCGGCUAACUUCGUGCCAGCAGCCGCGGUAAUACGAAGGGGGCUAGCGUUGCUCGGAAUUACUGGGCGUAAAGGGCGCGUAGGCGGAUAGCUUAGUCAGAGGUGAAAGCCCAGGGCUCAACCUUGGAAUUGCCUUUGAUACUGGCUGUCUUGAGUUUGGGAGAGGUGAGUGGAACUCCGAGUGUAGAGGUGAAAUUCGUAGAUAUUCGGAAGAACACCAGUGGCGAAGGCGACUCACUGGCCCAAUACUGACGCUGAGGCGCGAAAGCGUGGGGAGCAAACAGGAUUAGAAACCCUAGUAGUCC
rnacentral:rRNA from 1 species